GCUCCCUCUGGCCAUCCUUGGGGAGAUCGUGUUUGGCAUUAAGUUGUCGGGCAUGGGAUACCCAUCGUUUACUGUGAAAAAAUUAGAGUGUUUAAAGCAGGCUUAUGCCGUUGAAUAUAUUAGCAUGGAAUAAUAAGAUAGGACUUUGGAACUAUUUUGUUGGUUUGCGUUACAAAGUAAUGAUUAAUAGGGACAGUUGGGGGUAUUCGUAUUUCGUUGUCAGAGGUGAAAUUCUUGGAUUUCCGAAAGACGAACUACUGCGAAAGCAUUUACCAAGGAUGUUUUCAUUAAUCAAGAACGAAAGUUAGGGGAUCGAAGAUGAUUAGAUACCAUCGUAGUCUUAACCAUAAACUAUGCCGACUCAGGAUUGGCGGUUG
rnacentral:rRNA from 1 species